UUAGUUCAUAUUUGUAUGGAGUAGGAUCGUUUGCGUACGUUUGCCGCUAGGAGCGCUGUUCCAAUUGCAUACAAAACUGGGUUA
rnacentral:pre_miRNA from 1 species